AACGUAGGAGACAAACGUUAUCCGGAGUUACUGGGCGUAAAGGGCGUGUAGGUGGUAGUGUAAGUCUGGCGUGAAAUUUUUCGGCUUAACCGGGAAAGGUCGUCGGAUACUGCACAACUAGAGGACGGUAGAGGCGUGUGGAAUUCCGGGUGUAGUGGUGAAAUGCGUAGAUAUCGGGAGGAAUACCGAUGGCGAAGGCAGGUCUCUGGGCUGACACUGACGCUCAUGCACGAAAGCGUGGGGAGCAAACAGG
rnacentral:rRNA from 1 species